AUUGAACGCUGGCGGCAUGCCUAACACAUGCAAGUCGAACGGUAGCAGGUCCUUCGGGAUGCUGACGAGUGGCGGACGGGUGCGUAACGCGUGGGAAUCUGCCCAAUAGUGGGGGAUAACCCGGGGAAACCCGGGCUAAUACCGCAUACUCCCUACGGGGGAAAGCGGGGGACCGAAAGGCCUCGCGCUAUUGGAUGAGCCCGCGUCCGAUUAGCUUGUUGGUGGGGUAAAGGCCUACCAAGGCGACGAUCGGUAGCUGGUCUGAGAGGACGACCAGCCACACUGGGACUGAGACACGGCCCAGACUCCUACGGGAGGCAGCAGUGGGGAAUAUUGGACAAUGGGGGAAACCCUGAUCCAGCAAUGCCGCGUGUGUGAAGAAGGCCUGCGGGUUGUAAAGCACUUUCGGCAGGAAAGAAAAGUCAUGCGCCAAUACCGCAUGACCUUGACGUUACCUGCAAAAGAAGCACCGGCUAACUCCGUG
rnacentral:rRNA from 1 species